rnacentral:lncRNA from 1 species
AAAAGCCCGGUUUUUCUACACUUCCUUCUCUGCUUUUCCCCUUCCCCUUAGUAAUCAAAAGUGACCCUUCUGCCAUUUCUUGACCUUGGAAUACGUGAAUAACUCGGCCGCAGCCAGAGCAUGCGUCGCCGCCAGAGCAUCUGCCAUUGUUGUCGAGCAGCCUAGCGGGAAUCUGUCGUGCAGGGGUGUGUGAAUUUGUAGAGGGCAAUUCCGAGAUCUUUAAUCAAGUUUUCCUCGAUCUCCUGACUUGGUUGAGACGUAGAAGCUCCGUCCACAGAAGGUUUUAACCCGCUAAGGGUGGUGGGGUCCCACAGCCCUGCCCAGUCUUCAAAACUGGAAUGUCUGUACAGCUAGAGUUUUCAAAAACGAGGAACAUCUCUAUAUACCUUUUUGGGGGAAACGUCGUAGAGUUUGUGGGCUCCUUAUGGUCGUAUGUUCCGUUGUGUUACAGCCCACGCUGAAACAGCGACGACAGAGAGCGCCGCUCGCGCCUUCCAAAAACCUUGUUGGUGCCGGCUAUUUCUCAAGCCAAGGGGUUUCUUCGCAUGACAUGAACUUUCUUCUUCGUCCUUGUUUGUUCGCUGUGAAAACGUCGAGGAGAAAGAAAGCAUUUGAAUACAUCAAUGGUAAGCAUACAUCUAGAGAGGAAACUGAAGGAGUUAAGCAGUUCUCUCAGCCUGAAAUUCCCGGAGUCAGG